rnacentral:misc_RNA from 1 species
UUGAAAUUGGCCAGGAAGUGGAUAAUGAGAUCGAGAUCUUGUCCAAGAUUCACAGCCCAAGAUUGGUAAACUUAUUAGGCUUUGCAAAUGAUACUAAAGAUAGAUUGCUUGUUGUUGAAUUCAUGAGCAAUGGCACUCUAUAUGAUAUUCUUCACUCAAAUUCAAGACCACCCAAUUGGGGUCGAAGAAUUCGAAUGGCUUUGCAAAUUGCUAAGGCUAUCGACACUUUACACUCACAAAACCC